AUAAAUUAUUGCAAAAAAAUAUAAUGUCAAAAGCUUGAAUACGUAGAUCAAAACAAGCUAAUUUCAUUAAUAUCGUACUAGCGUUUCCGGCGAAUAAUGGAAAUCUUUCUUUUGUCAUAUCGCCCAGGAAUUUCUUUUGAAAUACCGGCAGUGAAAGAAGUUCACUUAUAAUUUAUAGACCCUUUAUGCCUGAGCGGUGGAAGCGUAUUCGUUGAAAGUUCCCAUUGUCCUCAAAACUCACACAAAGUCUGACAAAGCUGCGAUUUUAUUACUGGAUGCUACUGUUCUCUGUGCCGACCCCUCCAUCCCAGUGGCCGGCGUAGCCACUGCUCCAUCCCAUGAUAAUAGAACCUCUGACCUGGAUGAAAGUCACGCCACUCCAUUGUCCCCACCCAUCAUAAUAUACUAGGACCCCUAUUUUAUGCUCAGGUGUGAUUUAAAUAAUAAUCGAGACAGAUUCUUACUUUUUGUACUUGACCAUGGAUGGCAUAUAGAUAGUUGACCCCUGUGUACCGCCUAAUUCUAUGCGAAAAAGGGCCUAUAUAAACCGGGGGCUGCAGCAAUUUCUGAAAGUUUGUGUUCGGACUUCAUCGAAAGCAGCUUGGUGCAACAGUCACUGUAUCUCUUUUUACGAACUGAAACAAAUCAACAGUUGAAUCUACGGCUUCAAGAUGAAGGUUUGGAUUGUUGCUGUUCUUUGUGUGAUGUGCCUUGCCCUGGCCCAGGUCCAUGGCUACAUGGAGGAGAAAG